GAGUGAACGCUGGCGGUAGGCCUAACACAUGCAAGUCGAACGGCAGCACAGUAAGAGCUUGCUCUUACGGGUGGCGAGUGGCGGACGGGUGAGGAAUACAUCGGAAUCUACUUUUUCGUGGGGGAUAACGUAGGGAAACUUACGCUAAUACCGCAUACGACCUACGGGUGAAAGCAGGGGAUCUUCGGACCUUGCGCGAUUGAAUGAGCCGAUGUCGGAUUAGCUAGUUGGCGGGGUAAAGGCCCACCAAGGCGACGAUCCGUAGCUGGUCUGAGAGGAUGAUCAGCCACACUGGAACUGAGACACGGUCCAGACUCCUACGGGAGGCAGCAGUGGGGAAUAUUGGACAAUGGGCGCAAGCCUGAUCCAGCCAUACCGCGUGGGUGAAGAAGGCCUUCGGGUUGUAAAGCCCUUUUGUUGGGAAAGAAAAGCAGCAGGUUAAUACCCCACUGUUCUGACGGUACCCAAAGAAUAAGCACCGGCUAACUUCGUG
rnacentral:rRNA from 1 species